ACAGCUUUGGACAAAAGUCUACACAGCCAGUGCAUCUGAAACUCCCCUUUGCACAGGCUGACUGUAGCUGGGAGAAGACAUUUUACUCAUUUGCUCUCUCCCUUCAUGUGGUCAGCUGGCCCCUCUUCUCAGGUGUAGAUCACCUAUUAUAAUUUCACCUAAUUUUGAUCCUCUGAUGGGGAAAUCCCCGAACUAAUCAACUGAGAUAGGCCUUACUUCCAAGGCAGCCCU
ensembl:misc_RNA predicted gene, 27403